GAUGAACGCUGGCGGCGUGCUUAACACAUGCAAGUCGAACGAAGCACCGUGAUUUGAUUCUUCUGAUGUAGAUCUUGGUGGCUGAGUGGCGGACGGGUGAGUAACGCGUGGGUGACCUGCCUCAUACAGGGGGAUAACAGGUAGAAAUGACUGCUAAUACCGCAUAAGACCACAGCACCGCAUGGUGCAGGGGUAAAAACUCCGGUGGGAUGGGAUGUACCCGCGUCUGAUGAGGUAGUUGGUGGGGUAACGGCCUACCAAGCCGACGAUCAGUAGACGAGCUGAGAGACUCGCCGGAGACACCUGGAGUGGGAAACGGUCCAGAAUCUUACGCGAGGCAGCAGUGGCGAAUAUUGCACAAUGGGGGAAAUGCUGAUGCACUGCCGCUGCUAAAGUGAUGAAGUAGUGCGGUAAGUAAAUCUCUAUAAGCAGGGAAGACAAUGACGGUACCCGACGAAGAAGCACCGGCUAAAUACGUG
rnacentral:rRNA from 1 species